rnacentral:rRNA from 1 species
CGGCGAACGGGUGAGUAACGCGUGGAUUAUCUGCCCUGAGGUGGGGGAUAACCCGGGGAAACUCGGGCUAAUACCGCAUAAUAUCGAGAGGUCAAAGGGGGCCGCAAGGCUCUCGCCAUGGGAGGAGUCCGCGUUCGAUUAGCUAGUUGGUAGGGUAAUGGCCUACCAAGGCGACGAUCGAUAGCCGGCCUGAGAGGGUGAUCGGCCACACUGGAACUGAGACACGGUCCAG